AUAAACGCUGGCGGCGUGCAUUAGACAUGCAAGUCGAACGGACUUUCAGGGCUUGCUCUGAAAGUUAGUGGCGGACGGCUGAGUAACGCGUAGGUGACCUACCCCGAAGUGGGGAAUAACUGCCCGAAAGGGUGGCUAAUACCGCAUGUGAUCGUUCUUUCAUUUGAAUGAUCAAAGCAGUAAUGCGCUUCGGGAGGGGCCUGCGUCCGAUUAGCUCGUUGGUGGGGUAAUGGCUCACCAAGGCGACGAUCGGUAGGUGGUCUGAGAGGACGAUCACCCAGACUGGGACUGAGACACGGCCCAGACUCCUACGGGAGGCAGCAGUCGGGAAUUUUGCUCAAUGGGCGCAAGCCUGAAGCAGCAACGCCGCGUGCGGGAUGAAGGCCUUCGGGUUGUAAACCGCUUUUACCAGGGACGAUUAUGACGGUACCUGGUGAAUAAGCCACGGCUAACUACGU
rnacentral:rRNA from 1 species